rnacentral:misc_RNA from 1 species
GACACUCCUUGCAUAGUUCUUCUUUUCGCUUCAACAAUCUUUUCAUCAUUGAAAUCAGUAAUGCACAACUUAAUCAUGGGUGGAGCCACAUUUUCCUGAUUUACUUCUUUCUUACAGGAGCUACCUCCAACGUGUACAUCAUAUGCAUGGGCAGCUACCACUUCUACAUUUAGAUCUUGCAAGCCACUUGACAACUGCUCCCUGUGAUGAGAGUUCCUUUUUUGUUGUAAAUGGAAUUCUCAUCACAGGGA